GAGAGUUUGAUCCUGGCUCAGGAUGAACGCUAGCUACAGGCUUAACACAUGCAAGUCGAGGGGCAGCAUGGUCUUAGCUUGCUAAGGCCGAUGGCGACCGGCGCACGGGUGAGUAACGCGUAUCCAACCUGCCUUACACUCUUGGACAGCCUUCUGAAAGGGAGAUUAAUACAAGAUGUUAUCAUGAGUAAGCAUUUUCGCAUGAUUAAAGGUUUACCGGUGUAAGAUGGGGAUGCGUUCCAUUAGAUAGUAGGCGGGGUAACGGCCCACCUAGUCUUCGAUGGAUAGGGGUUCUGAGAGGAAGGUCCCCCACAUUGGAACUGAGACACGGUCCAAACUCCUACGGGAGGCAGCAGUGAGGAAUAUUGGUCAAUGGACGAGAGUCUGAACCAGCCAAGUAGCGUGAAGGAUGAAGGUUCUAUGGACUGUAAACUUCUUUUAUACGGGAAUAAACGGAUCCACGUGUGGAUUUUUGCAUGUACCGUAUGAAUAAGGAUCGGCUAACUCCGUGCCAGCAGCCGCGGUAAUACGGAGGAUCCGAGCGUUAUCCGGAUUUAUUGGGUUUAAAGGGAGCGUAGAUGGGUUGUUAAGUCAGUUGUGAAAGUUUGCGGCUCAACCGUAAAAUUGCAAUUGAUACUGGCAGUCUUGAGUACAGUUGAGGUAGGCGGAAUUCGUGGUGUAGCGGUGAAAUGCUUAGAUAUCACGAAGAACUCCGAUUGCGAAGGCAGCUUACUAACCUGUAACUGACAUUGAUGCUCGAAAGUGUGGGUAUCAAACAGGAUUAGAUACCCUGGUAGUCCACACGGUAAACGAUGAAUACUCGCUGUAGGCGAUAUACAGUCUGCGGCCAAGCGAAAGCAUUAAGUAUUCCACCUGGGGAGUACGCCGGCAACGGUGAAACUCAAAGGAAUUGACGGGGGCCCGCACAAGCGGAGGAACAUGUGGUUUAAUUCGAUGAUACGCGAGGAACCUUACCCGGGCUUAAAUUACAACCGAAUAUGGCGGAAACGCUAUAGCUAGCAAUAGCGGUUGUGAAGGUGCUGCAUGGUUGUCGUCAGCUCGUGCCGUGAGGUGUCGGCUUAAGUGCCAUAACGAGCGCAACCCUUGCCGAUAGUUACUAACAGGUCAUGCUGAGGACUCUGUCGGGACUGCCAUCGUAAGAUGUGAGGAAGGUGGGGAUGACGUCAAAUCAGCACGGCCCUUACGUCCGGGGCUACACACGUGUUACAAUGGGGGGUACAGAGGGCUGCUACCACGCAAGUGGAUGCCAAUCCCAAAAACCUCUCUCAGUUCGGAUUGAAGUCUGCAACCCGACUUCAUGAAGCUGGAUUCGCUAGUAAUCGCGCAUCAGCCACGGCGCGGUGAAUACGUUCCCGGGCCUUGUACACACCGCCCGUCAAGCCAUGGGAGCCGGGGGUACCUGAAGUGCGUAACCGCAAGGAGCGCCCUAGGGUAAAACUGGUGACUGGGGCUAAGUCGUAACAAGGUAGCCG
rnacentral:rRNA from 1 species